UGAAAAGAGAAACAGCUGAGAAAGAACUAGAGGAGCUGAGGAGGAAACUGAACAUCAAGUCAGAGAGAAUCAAACCUGAACAAACACAGAACAGCAGCAGCUCAGACAGUCAGGAGACGUCAGGAGACAUCACUGUGUUUGUUCAUCCCAAGGACUACUAUAUCUGUCUGAGAAACAUGUCUGAUCAGGACAAACCACUGGGAGGACGUCAGUUAAAAGUCCAGAUCAACAAUAGUGAACCCAUCACAUACACAUUUGAUCCAUCAAUGAAACUCAAGGCUGGAGACAAAGUUACUAUAUACCAUCCAGACAGUGAGCAUCUUGUCUCUGAUAGCCUGGUGUGGGAGGACCUGAAGUCCUGGAAGUCUGGAGACAGAGUCAAGGCCUCUCUGCAGUGAAAUAGUUCCCAGUUGAACUCCUUCAAUAAAGUUCAGUAAUCCAGCAAACAGCAACAUUAUAGAUGAGAAACAGCACGACUCAGAUCUUCCUGCAGAAACCACACACUGCAGAGAAAGAUGAAAUAAUUCUACAACUGUUUCCCAUUGUCAAUCAUUGUAUUUUAAUAAAUCUCUUCUU